CAUAACUAAAUUACUUAAAUAAUUGAACUCUCAAAUAGGCAACCGGCUACACCGGUUAGAAGGGGAAACAAAAUUGAAUCAGUGUGUUUGGCCCUCUUGUUGGCUCUUCUCCUCCCUUUUCUCUUCCGCCAUAGCUGAAGCUUCCAAGGACCACCAGCCUCGUCGGCGAUCCGGGCUUCAGCCAUGUCGACAUCUUCUUCGCAAGCUCUCACUCUCUGGACGUCUCCACCAUGGGUUUGUUCUAGUUGUUCUUCAUCAAUCGCAACGAUCUCUGUUCUUCAUCGAUCUCGAGGCUAAUCAAACUCGAACUCAAUCUCUCUCACUAUUAGCUCCCAUCUUGAGUUUGCAAAUCGCAAAUCCGAAAUCGAGUUUGAAUCAAAUCAGAUCUAUCUUGCUCUUUAUCUCAGAGCAACUGAGGACCAUGGGAAGCUAGCGACAAUAUACAAGUCGAAGAAGAGGAAUGAGAUGGUGGAAGAGGGAUACUGGAUUUUGGGCUCUGGAGACCAAUGGAGCGAUCUUUUGGGUUCAUCAGUUUCCAUCCGCUCGUUCAAGCUUCCAAAUCCCAUGUAUUAUAUUCCCUAAUUGGACAGGAAAUUAAAGAGGCGGAUACAGAUGAACAUUAUCGACCUAAAUCUCCAAUAGGAAUCAUCAAUGUGACUCUAAAAGAGAAGGUUUGAAGGAGGUUUUAUCAGUUUAAAGCUUCUUUUAAUGGCAUGGUUUCCCCAUAUUAGAUGCCAACGUGCUGAUAAUCACCAAGCAAGCAAGAGGUUUAUGGAAAGUAUAAAUUUUUAGUCCAGGGUCGCAAGAUGGGUCAAUAUGAACCUCAUAAGUUGAAUUUCGGUUGUACGGAUGGGAUGGGAGACGAUACGUACGAGCGGGUGCCGCAAGGUCAAUCCUAUUAUUUUCCGUGUAUGGAUGGGACACAAGAGAGCGCAUUGCAAAUGGUGGACAAAAUUGGAAGCUCAUCUUUCAGUGAAUCAGGAAUGGCGAAUAGGUUUUGAACAGAUUGAGAACAGGUUAUAUUUGAUUCUGAAUAGGUUUUGAACAGAUUCAGAACAGAUUAUAUUUGGUUUUGAACAGGUUCUGAAGAGGUUAAUUUCAGAUUUUGAACAGAUUCUGAACAGGUUUUGAACAGGUUCUAAAGAGGUUAAUUUCAGAUUUUGAACAGAUUCUGAACAGGUUAAUUUCAGAUUUUGAAUUUCAGAUUGUGAACAGGUUAAUCUAAUUUUCAGAUUCAGAUUCUGAAGAGGUUAAUCUGAAUUUCAGAUUCAGUCAAUUUGUGUAGAAUGACAGGUUCAGAAGCAGAAUCACAGGUUGAUUGUUUGAAGCAGAAUGACAGGUUCAGCCGAAUAAAGUUCAGAAUGAUGCAGUCCAGAAUAAAGCACUCCAGAAUUGAAGCUCAGAAUGAUGCAGUCCAGAAUUUAAGAAUGAUGCAGUCCAGAAUU